GAUCAUGGCUCAGGAUGAACGCUGGCGGCGUGCCUAAUACAUGCAAGUGAAACGGGUAUCUUCGGAUACCAGUCGCGGACGGGUGAGUAAUACAUAGGCAACCUGCCUUUAUGAGGGGGAUAACCGAGGGAAACUUUGGCUAAUACCGCAUGAAGACUCUAAGGCAUCUUAGAGGGAUAAAAGUUGGGAAACAACGCAUGAAGAUGGGCUUAUGGCGCAUUAGCUAGUUGGUGAGAUAGAAGCCCACCAAGGUAAUGAUGCGUAGCCGACCUGAGAGGGUGAACGGCCACAUUGGGACUGAGACACGGCCCAAACUCCUACGGGAGGCAGCAGUAGGGAAUUUUCGGCAAUGGGGGGAACCCUGACCGAGCAACGCCGCGUGAAGGAAGAAGGUUUUCGGAUUGUAAACUUCUGUUAUAAGGGAAGAACGGAUUGGAUAGGGAAUGAUCUGAUAGUGACGGUACCUUAUUAGAAAGCCACGGCUAACUACGUGCCAGCAGCGGC
rnacentral:rRNA from 1 species